GAAUAUUGGACAAUGGGCGAAAGCCUGAUCCAGCGACGCCGCGUGUGUGAAGAAGGCCUGCGGGUUGUAAAGCACUUUCGAUGGGAACGAAAUGUGCCGGGUUAAUACCCCGGCAAGCUGACGUUACUCAAUGAAGAAGCACCGGCUAACUCUGUGCCAGCAGCCGCGGUAAUACAGAGGGUGCGAGCGUUAAUCGGAAUUACUGGGCGUAAAGCGCACGUAGGUGGCGACGUAUGUCGGGUGUGAAAGCCCCGGGCUCAACCUGGGAAUUGCAUCCGAAACUGCGUUGCUGGAGUACGGAAGAGGAAGGCGGAAUUCCCGGUGUAGCGGUGAAAUGCGUAGAUAUCGGGAGGAACAUCAGUGGCGAAGGCGGCCUUCUGGUCCAGUACUGACACUCAAGUGCGAAAGCGUGGGGAGCAAACAG
rnacentral:rRNA from 1 species